AGUGGACGCUGGCGGUAGGCCUAACACAUGCAAGUCGAACGGCAGCACAGUAAGAGCUUGCUCUUACGGGUGGCGAGUGGCGGACGGGUGAGGAAUACAUCGGAAUCUACUUUUUCGUGGGGGAUAACGUAGGGAAACUUACGCUAAUACCGCAUACGACCUACGGGUGAAAGCAGGGGAUCUUCGGACCUUGCGCGAUUGAAUGAGCCGAUGUCGGAUUAGCUGGUUGGCGGGGUAAAGGCCCACCAAGGCGACGAUCCGUAGCUGGUCUGAGAGGAUGAUCAGCCACACUGGAACUGAGACACGGUCCAGACUCCUACGGGAGGCAGCAGUGGGGAAUAUUGGACAAUGGGCGCAAGCCUGAUCCAGCCAUACCGCGUGGGUGAAGAAGGCCUUCGGGUUGUAAAGCCCUUUUGUUGGGAAAGAAAAGCAGCAGGUUAAUACCCCGCUGUUCUGACGGUACCCAAAGAAUAAGCACCGGCUAACUUCGUG
rnacentral:rRNA from 1 species